rnacentral:misc_RNA from 1 species
AGCUGGCAAGUCGUUGCAAGGAAACGGGAAAUUUGGUUUAUUCUUAUUACCGUUCACUCCGUGUAUGGGAGCUGUGACUCAUAGGCAAAACGCUUGGCUGCUGUCGGGCAAUCUGUAUUCUCUUGCCUUUCCGUAUUUUAUGCAAGUCAGCCUUCAAAACGUUUCGAUCAAAGAGUUUUUAUGCUCAUCAGCGGAGCACCAUUGUUGGACCUGCUGGACGUAGGCUCCCGCCCCCGCACUCCGCAGUCAACCUACCUGCCGCAAGAUUCAAGAAGCGUAACGUUAUGUCAGUGUUCACAAUCGAACAAGUGCGAAGAGAUUGAAUCGAAUUGAGUCAAUCUAUUAUCUGGAGUCAUUCCUGUAACGAGCAGUUAACAUGCCAGAGAAACAAGAUGAUACAAGUGUACGAGUGGCUGUUCGGAUCCGUCCUCAGCUAGCAAGAGAGAAGAUAGAUGCUUGUCGUGUGUGUACAGCAGUCAGUCCAGAUCAACCACAGGUUAUUCUUGGACCUGAUCGUAUGUUUACAUAUGAUCAUGUAUUUGAUAUGGACAGUCAACAAGAUUCCAUCUAUCAAAGAACGGUACAUGAUCUCAUCGAAGGGUGUUUCGAGGGCUACAAUGCAACUGUCUUUGCUUACGGCCAGACAGGAGCUGGUAAAACGUAUAGUAUGGGGACUGGGUUUGAGCCUGGACUUACUGAAGAUCAGAAAGGAAUCAUACCCCGAGCUGUAAGGCAUCUAUUCACAGGAAUUGAAGAAAGGCAAAGAAACGCUGCUGAUAAAAGUGAACCUCCUCCUGAGUUUAAGAUCUAUGCAGAAUUCAUGGAGUUAUACAAUGAAGAGAUCCUAGACCUGUUUGAUUCUGCAAGGGAUAUGGAAUCUAGUAGGAGUAAGAAAUCUCACAUCAAGAUUCAUGAAGAUGCUGGGGGUGGGAUCUAUGUGGUUGGCGUGACAACACGGACUGUGACAUCAGAACAGGAGACAUUGCAAGCUUUACAAGGCGGGGCAUUAUCAAGGACAACAGCCAGUACAAAGAUGAAUUCACAGAGUUCUCGAUCUCAUGCAAUCUUUACAUUACAUAUUAAACAACAGAGGCUUAUUAAAGUGACAGCUGAAAUAGAAGGUGAAGAUGAGAAAGAAACAGAGAAGACUGAGGGCGAUGGAAUGAAUGAGUUUGAAAUGCUUACGGCUAAAUUCCAUUUUGUUGAUCUGGCUGGCUCCGAGAGAUUGAAGAGAACAGGUGCAACAGGGGAUAGAGCGAAAGAAGGAAUAUCAAUUAAUUGUGGAUUGCUUGCUCUAGGUAAUGUGAUCAGUGCUCUUGGUGAUCCAUUAAAGAAGUCAUCUCAUGUUCCAUAUAGGGAUUCUAAAUUGACCAGAUUACUUCAAGAUUCUCUAGGUGGUAACAGCCGUACAUUGAUGAUAGCCUGUGUGAGUCCAUCUGAUCCUGACUUCAUGGAGACCUUGAACACGUUGCGAUACGCCAACAGAGCAAGAAAUAUCAAGAAUGCAGUCAUUGCUAACCAAGACAAGACAAGCCGUCAGUUAGCUCUACUCAGAACAGAGAUAAAACGACUACAAGAUGAACUCAAUGAAUACAAACAGGGUAAGAGGUCAGUGAACUCAGAUGGAGUUGAGGAGAUCAAUGAUCUAUUUCAUGAGAACACAAUGCUUCAGAUGGAGAAUAGUAAUCUACGUCAACGAAUUAAAGCUUUACAAGAAACCAUUGAUGGUCUGACGGCUAGGAUUGCUUUAUUGGUUGCAGAACAAGCUAGAUAUGGCAUGUCUGCUUCAACAGAUCGGUCUCGUUACACCAUGUCUACAGACUUAGGUGGUACAGAUGGAGAUGAUGAAACAAUGUUAAUGAUGACAGGAUACAUCAAAGAGGUAGAAGAAUUGAGGGCCAAGUUGGUUGAGAGUGAGAGUAUGAACUCUGCUUUAAGAAGGAAGAAUGUUGAUUCACCAGUCAGGGUUAAUUCUAGAGGAUCAGUAAUGAGUCCUUCUCAUGUAUCACUUAGACCAAGCUCUGCCAUCUUUACUGCACCAAUAUUUGAGAAUGAAUUUCAUGGUGAUGAUGAUGUGAGAGUUUCUUCUGUUCUCUCUGAUGCUAAGAAACAAAUAGAAGUUGAUCAAGAAAAGAUAAGACAAGUUGAAAAGAGGAGACAUUCACAUGGGGGUAGUGAAAAAGACAUGGAGUCAUGUGAAGAGAUUACAGACGAAAGCCAUGAAUCAGUUCAGGAUCAUGAGAUGGAAGGAACAAAAGAUGAAGAUGAAGAAAAAGAAGAAGAGGAUUCAGAUGAUGAAGAUGACGAUGAGAAAGAUAGUAGUAGUAGUAGUGAUUCAGAAUCAGAUGAAGAAGAGAAUGCACAACUACAGGAGAAUCUUGCCGAGAUUGCGUGUGAAAUCACCAUCAAACAAAGACUAAUAGAAGAACUGGAGUUAAGUCAAAAGAGACUUCACACUAUGAAGAUGCAAUAUGAAGAGAAACUAGGCUCUUUACUUAAUAAGAUCAAAGAAACAGAAAGUGAAAGAGAUAAAGUCUUGGAAAACCUGGGAUCAAUGGCUGAAUCAAGGACAAAAGACAAAGCUGAAAAGAUCCGCAAGGAAUAUGAGAUAAAACUGAAGAAACUUUCAGAGGAGAAAGAUAGACUCACUAAGGCUCAGAAGGAACAUAACAAGAUUUUAAAGAGCAAGUCACAGUUUGAAAGGCAGAUGAGAGGACUCAAAGAUGAGGUCUCUAAAAUGAAAGAAACAAAGGUGAAGCUGAUGAAACAAAUCCGAGAAGAACAACAGAAGAGUCGUAAUAAAGAUCAGCUAUCAAGCAGAGAGAUACAAAGAUUAAAGAAAGAAUCUAGGAAGAAAGAAACGCAGAUUAAAACAUUGGAAGCUUCAGCUAAACAGAGGGAACUUGUGCUUAAGAGAAAACAUGAACAGCUUGAGAUGCUGCGUAAGAAUCAGAAACCAAUGUCAGACAAGGUCGCUGGAAGAGUCUCUAGACCUGUGAAGAAGCCCUCUACAGUCCAAACAGAGACAGGUACAGGAGGUCAAAGGUCACUUAGCAGGAGAGGAAAGGCGAAGGUUGACACCGGCCGACCUACCAAACAUGAGAGGAAAGGAACAAGUGAAUACUCAUCAAAAACAGCCAAACAGAAAUGGAAUGUUAUGGAGAGAAAGAUCACAGAUAUCAUAGCAAGACGGCAAACACUGUCCUUCAUGGAACGAGAUAUGGAAAGGUUUAUCCAUCAUAGACACAAACUAAGCAAGAAGGUUGAGAAGUACCUGACUAAGAGAGAUGAAGCUUUGAAGACAGGCAACAAUGAUCCUAGUAUCCUAAAAGAUUUAGAUGAACAGAUAGAUGGAUUAAAUGAUAACAUAGAGUAUGUACAGGAACAGAUUACAGAAUGUCAGAGUGGGAUUAUGGAAGUCAUGGAGGGAAAGGAGGAGAUAGAUGCUGUUGAUGCAGCUGCUGUAGUUGAACAAUGCUCCUUGAGAGAGGCUAAAUACAUGCUGGAGCAUUUCAUUAACCUAGCUAUCAGUAAGGGUUUGAGUGCUGCACAGAAAGAAUCUCAAGUCAAAGAGUUGACAGCAAAACUACAUCAAGAAGAACAGAAUAGCUUUGUACAACAGACAUUAUUACAACAUAUGAUGAAAGACAGAGAGGGAGAAGAUCUUGAAUUAGAUGGCCUUUUUAAUCAUCCUAAUAGAGAUAGCGAGAGUAGCAGCAAUAGUUCAAGGGCUCCCUCACCUGAUAUCAGUGCCUUGAAUGCAUUAGCAGUGAAUGUGCCUGAUCACACCACACUACCACAUACAGGACCAGCGAAUUCUGUAUCAUCUAUUCCCGUACCCACCCAAACCAAGGCUAAAGACAAGGCAAGAAGACGAACAGCUACAUCAGAGGAACUAUUAGGAUUCAAAGGUUCAUCUGACUUCACUCCUGACCCUGCUGUAGGUGUGGUCAUUGAAUCUGAUGAAACAUCAUCAUCAACAGAUACCGCUUCAAUAGAUUCAUCUCAGGUUCUACCAUCAAGUCAUAUACCAAUCAGAAAAGAUGGCAGAGAUCAUACUCCAGACCAUACACCUCCUGGAUCACCUCCUCCUUCUAGAACUGGUAAUGUCUUCUCAAGGCUGGCUCAAACCAAUUCACCAGCUCAGUCUCAGAAAGAUAGAGGUUCAAUCAUUCCUGUGAUUAAUAAACCUACUACUCCACGUGCUCCAUUAGUGUGUUCAUACACAGCUGAAGGUCAUAAUAAAGCAGUCUUAUCAGUUCAAGCCACAGAAGAACUACUAUUCAGUGGAUCUAAAGAUCGGAGUGUGAAGAUCUGGAAGCUGGAGACUGGGAAAGAGAUUGCUACUCUUGGUGGUCAUACUAAUAAUGUAGGUGUUGUGAGGUAUUGUGAGAAACUCAAGCUUGUAUUUAGUGUAUCUACUGCAUUCAUACGAAUAUGGGAUAUCAGAGAUACAACUAAAUGUGUUACUACACUAAGUUCAUCUGGAAUGCAGCUUGAUAAGACUGCUGGUAGUAGCUCAUCUAGAACAGUUACACUACCACAAGGAGAGACACAGAUCAAUGAUAUAGCUAUCAAUCAAAAUGGAACUAGACUAUAUUCAGCUGCUGGUAAUAUAGUAAGAGUAUGGGAUCUUAACAGCUUUCAGUCAAUGUGUAAGUUAUUUGGUGGACCUUCUGCAGCAGUAAUGUGUCUGGAUGUAAAGACUACACCUGAGUAUGAUCAAGUCUUUGCUGGAUCCAAAGAUCAUUAUGUCAAGAUGUUUGAGGUGGAGCCAGCUGCAUCUGGUUGUCUGACAUCAUCAUUCAACUUUGAUCCUCCUCAUUAUGAUGGUAUCCAAUCAAUGGCUAUCAAGGGGAAUUCACUAUUCAGUGGUUCAAGGGAUGCAUGUAUUAAGAAAUGGGACUUGGAACAAAAACAACUUACAAAGGCAAUGUCUAAUGCUCAUAAAGACUGGAUAUGUGCCUUAGACUUCUUACCAAGUUACAACUGUCUGUUAAGUGGCUGUAGAGGGGGCUAUUUAAAGCUGUGGAAUAUCGAGACGUGUACCCCUGUGGGAGAGAUGAAAGCUCAUACUAGUCCUAUCAACUCCAUAGCAACCAACUCAACACAUGUCUUCACUGCUUCAAGUGACAUGAUCAAAUUAUGGAGAAAGUCUGAAAACACAAGACUAUCAAGUUUAUAGCACGCUGAACUGGUUUAUAGUGUGGUCUCAAUAGUUAGAUCUCUGCAUAUAUUUUGGUGAUAGGACCGUGAGUGUGUGGAAGAAAAAUGGGGAAGCAGAUCGGACAUGACCUUUGACCUGAUGAUGACAUAACAUCAUGAUGUAUAACUGCAAGCUUGAUGAGUCACAUCCAACUGGUUGCAUCCAGUUUUCACCAGUUUCCAGCACUUUGAUUUUCAGUGGUUCUUCUCAGUGCUACAUUCAUACAGUGUGGAUAUGGAAUUGUGAAAUUCAUGCUGAAUUGUUAGUAUGAAACUAAUAACUAUAUGAUUUCUGAAUUGCCGCAGUUAAAUGCAAGAAUUAUAGGUAUGAAUAUCACUGUAAUGCGCAAGUGCACCAUUAUACGCUGUUUCACUCUACAUGACACAUAUACAACAACAUAUAAUCUAAAUUAAGUCAUUUAUUCUUUCAUGUGAAAUGUAUGCCUACAAAGAUGUACAGAACAGGACGAAAAUAAUACAUUUCCUCUUUAAUACAUUAAAGAGGAAAUGUGACCCAAGUAGACAAAAUUAUGAAAUGGAAAUGAGAAAAUUUGGAAAGCUAAUUGGUGAAUAUUUUAACAAAACUUGCAUAUAAUAAGUAAUUUAUGCAAUUUUUACCUGUAAGAAGUUUUGAUUCCUGUAAGGUAAGGAUUACUGAGGAUAUACAUGUAUAUUAAUCUUAUUCAACACUGGGGAAAAAGUGCUUAGGAGAAAACCACACAAAUUACUGUCAAUUAAAUUAGACAAAUAGAUGUAAAAAAAACAAUCCGUAGGGUGUAUGCUAUAUUGCCACGACACCAAGAUUACCAGCACCAGAUUUUUUUGGUCCAGAGUUAAUAUGGUGUUCAUACAGUAUGGUGUCUUAGCUUUUUGAUGGUAGUAUACUCCUCAAGCAGUGGAUAAUGUGUUAAUAGGCAAUCCAGAAUGUGAGGACCAGGAUAAUACUAUAUCUGGGGAUGUCCUGAUGAUCUGACAGUUACUAUAAAAGUUACACCUUACUUGUCAGAUGUGCUGCAAUCUGGCUUGGUGUAAACAGCCCAGCUUGGCAUACUGGUGAGAUGUGCAUAACUGAUUUUUCGUGAUGUGUACACUCUUAAUGCAACAAUCUUUAUACCACUUAAGACCAAUACCACCUAGCUUUGAACACAAAACCCAGUUCAGAAGUAUGCAAUCAAUGUUUGUAGCUUGACAAAUAGGAAAUAGCACCCUCAAUUGUUUGUAAAUAUGAAUAUUAUAUUAUUUUUGUUGAAAAACCAUUGUUUAAUUCAAAAUUCUAAGAAAUCAUGACAGAAUAGAUGUUAAACAGUGUAAUAUAUGCAUGCUGUAGAAAAAGUUUAUAUUUAUUUUCUAUGUGUAUAUGUAAGUAUAUGUUAGUGCACAUAAUAUUGCUUGACAAUGGCAUAUAUUGGCAUAAAAUUGAAAUAUCUCCCCCCUCUUUUUCAGUAUUCCUCUCCUUGUCGAGAGAAGGAGUGAGAUGAUUAUGUUUUAUCAUGUAUUGAACCACAGAGACUAUUAUUGCGCAAUUAUUUCAAUCUUCUUGCAAUUUGAAGACAUUGAAAUUUGUGAAAUAUGUCCCAUUUUGAGCAAGCGCCAUGAGUGCCCAGCUGAGGCAGAUACCGGCACUAUACAAGAACCCAUCAUCAUCAUUUGUCAGUUAUUGCGCAAUAUAUCAGAUAGUAAUUAUACUUGCUUCAAUAAAUGCAGUAUAAUUAAAAUGACUUUUGCUGAGCUACUAUUGCAUUUCAAGUUUUAAAUGUAACUCCUGCCAGGUUCCCAUUUACGUCAAGCGGAUUGAGUGCAAUUGACUUCAGGGGCCCGUUGCAGAAAGAGUUGCAAUCAAUCGCAACUCUUAAAUCAUGCACAACUUGAUUUUCAACCAAUCAACAGCAUGCAUUUGGGACUUGAUUGAUUUUUUUACUUGCGUUUAAACGCAACUCUUUCUGCAACUGACCCCUGAACAAAUGUUGAGCUCUGUUGACCCAUGUGUAAACAAGUCUUUGUUUAUUGGCUACACAAGUAUUAAUACAAUCAUUCCAUGCAAACAAUCAACAUACUAGAUACAUGAUAGCUUUUAUAUGAAUCCUCUUCAGCAUAUAUAAUAUGGAUUAUUGUCUGAUCCCAAGUGAUGUUAUUAAUGAAGCUUCAAGCAUAUUCCAAAUUAUUUUUGUAUAGAUUAUAGUAGAGAAAUAUAAUGUAUUUAUUAUUCUGUUUGAAUGAGUGUGUUGGCUUAUUCUGUUAUUUGAUUUGCAAAAGCUGAGAGA